AUAGCAUUCAUAGUAUUCUGCGACAAUUUCACGCGUCUACUCUCCAGCGCUACGUGUUAUUAACUGAAAUACCUAAAGAUGGCGCUGUGGGUCCAAGAGAAAGAAAAGAAAAAGCUUCGGUGCCUGGGCUAACCUUCCUGAUGAUCUGGAAGCCUCAAAAUGCAUUUACACCCCUCGCCCCCGCCGCAGAUUUGCUUAAAAAUGCCAGAAUGAGCAUGUGCUUAGAAAAAUCAUUUGCUUUUUAGACCCCCCCCACCUCUACCCCCAGCUCCAGCCCCCAACUUGGUAAAAAAAAUUGCAAAGGGAAAGGAUCUAGCCAGGAUGGAGUGGAUGACGACACACACGUGCCCUUUGGAAAAGCUGCGACUGUCAUACGUGACAGCCUAGCUUAAAGGACAGAGCUGAGUGCAAGGGAAUGGGGGGAAACCAGAUGAAACGAAGUGAGAAGCGAACACAAAUAAUUGACACCAGAAGUCAACUGCUGAGCUUUUUGGAAUGAGAUUACAGUGGAAACAGCCAUGCCAAGAAAUCUGCACUGGUAUUCUUGCUUGGUUCUUACUACAUCACAUCGGGAGGUCCAAGCGUUCAUGCCGAGUUUGAUUCCUUUCCUAAGACAAUGACCACCAAAUACCUCCAAGGCAAGAUGCAGUUUCUCUGACUACAUGGUACCGUGAGGAAGGUUACUUCUCCAACCCAUAAAUUCUUCCCAACACUACCCAAGCGUGGACAGCAGGACCAGAUGUUUGAGAAGGCCUGGAGGAACCUGCAUCUGAAUUCAAUAUCAUCAAAAUGAAAGAGGGUCAAGAGUUUAGGAAACCGUAUAAAGCAAUAACCACACAAGAUAUUUUAUUAAUAAAUUCUAUCCAGUUUUGACAUGUACUGUCAUACAUCAUAAACAUAACUGGAUAAUGUGCUCUUGAGUGAGGUUGCCUAGGAAGCAAGAAGAGCUGGAGCUGGAGUUACCUACACGGGUGCUGGGAACUGAACACGUCUUCUGCAAGAGCAACAGGGUUUCUUUGUGUAGCCCUAGAUGUCCUGGAACUUGCUCUGUAGACCAGGAUCUCAGAGAUUCUCCUACCUCUGCCUCUUGAGUGCUGGGAUCAAAGGUGUGUACCUCCACUGCCUACUCCUGGAAUCCAGUUGUAGAGAAGGAGGAGUGAUGAACAAAGGGGUCAAGACCAUGCUGGAGAAACCCACAGAAACAGCAGAUCUGAGCAAGGGGGAGCUCACAGAUCCCAUUUUGACAGCUGGGGAACCAACCCUGCUGAAUGUGCAUAUCAACUAGGAGGCCUGGGCAGUCUAUAGGGCCUCUGACAGUGGAACCAGUAUUUAUCCCUAGUGCAUGAGCGAACUUCGGGAGCCCAUUCCACAUAGAGGGAUACUCUCUCAGCCUAGAUACAGGUGGGAGGGUCUAGGCCUACCCUAAAUGAUGUGACAGACUUUGAUGGUCCCCCAUGGGAGGCCUCACCCUGCCUGGGGAGUGGAUGGGGGUUGGUGGUAGGCAUGGGAGGAUGGGAGGGAGAGGGAACUGAG
rnacentral:lncRNA from 1 species